rnacentral:ncRNA from 1 species
GGGUCAGCCUUGUAAUGGGGCUGCCAAGAGGGAAUCACGUGCAAGUCGUGAGCUGUCGCGCAACUGUGAAAACACUGCUGACAGGCAGAAAAUCCAUGCCAUUGGGGGCAACCGCCCCUGAGAAGGCUUCUGCCACGAGGUGUUGAGCCAGGAGACCUGCCCCGAAC